rnacentral:rRNA from 1 species
UGGGGAAUCUUAGACAAUGGGGGCAACCCUGAUCUAGCCAUGCCGCGUGAGUGAUGAAGGCCUUAGGGUCGUAAAGCUCUUUCGCUGGGGAUGAUAAUGACAGUACCCAGUAAAGAAACCCCGGCUAACUCCGUGCCAGCAGCCGCGGUAAUACGGAGGGGGUUAGCGUUGUUCGGAAUUACUGGGCGUAAAGCGCACGUAGGCGGACUGGAAAGUUAGAGGUGAAAUCCCGGGGCUCAACCCCGGAACUGCCUUUAAAACUAUCAGUCUAGAGUUCGAGAGAGGUGAGUGGAAUUCCGAGUGUAGAGGUGAAAUUCGUAGAUAUUCGGAGGAACACCAGUGGCGAAGGC